ensembl:lncRNA LINC01460 long intergenic non-protein coding RNA 1460
GACGGGGCUGUGUAGCAGAGCGCCCAGCUGGACGAAUCUCCCAGCCAGUUGGGGAGCCCCUCUGAGGGUCAUUCCUGCGGAUGUGGCCGUCGGGAGGACCAGCCCGUUUGCAGACCAAGCUUUUGCUUCCUCUCAUCCCUCCUGAGGAAGACCCUGGGAAAGGAAUGCUCUUCCUGCGGGCCCUUCCUCAGACACCAGGCAAACGGGUGAAGGUGCAGAGGUCGGCGGUGAGGAGGGGCCCCUGCGGUCUGCCAGGGAUUUCAGUGGGAUUUCCUGCCUCGAUUUCUCCAGUACUAUGAUAUGGAAAGACUAGAACAUUCAACCAUACACUUUCUGAUUCUCACCUCCACCAUCAUUAGUUCCAUUCCAAACUCUGGCUCCUACCCAUUGAGUUCAAGCUACAGCCUGAUUCAACUGAUCAACCUGGGGAUGGUGGUGUCAGGACUAGCACCUGGACCAUUCUGCCUCCUCUGCCUGCAACAUCCUCUCUAUCUGCUUGUGAACUCUUCUCCUUCAAAACCCAGCGGUUACGUCACCACUUCUAAAACCUUGAACUGAUUCCCCACGUAGUCGGCCAGCUACUUUUUAAAUUUAAAAAAGCCCAACCAGAAUAAACAGGAUAGCUAAAAUGCUGAAUUUCUUUGCUUUUUUUUGACUGGAUAUUAACUCAGUGUACUAAUGUUAGCUAUUAUCUUGUGUUAUUUGAUCAUAAUUUAUUUGCAGAUAUGUAAAUAUGUGAUUACCAAAAACUUGUAAAUGAAUACUUGCUAAAUUCAA